rnacentral:rRNA from 1 species
AACGAACGCUGGCGGCAUGCCUAACACAUGCAAGUCGAACGAAGUCUUCGGACUUAGUGGCGCACGGGUGCGUAACGCGUGGGAAUCUGCCCUUGGGUGCGGAAUAACUUCUCGAAAGGGAUGCUAAUACCGCAUAAUGUCGUAAGACCAAAGAUUUAUCGCCCAAGGAUGAGCCCGCGUAAGAUUAGCUAGUUGGUGGGGUAAAAGCCUACCAAGGCGACGAUCUUUAGCUGGUCUGAGAGGAUGAUCAGCCACACUGGGACUGAGACACGGCCCAGACUCCUACGGGAGGCAGCAGUGGGGAAUAUUGGACAAUGGGCGAAAGCCUGAUCCAGCAAUGCCGCGUGAGUGAUGAAGGCCCUAGGGUUGUAAAGCUCUUUUACCAGGGAUGAUAAUGACGGUAUCCGGAGAAGAAGCCCCGGCUAACUUCGUGCCAGCAGCCGCGGU